rnacentral:rRNA from 1 species
UACAGAGGUCUCAAGCGUUGUUCGGAUUCAUUGGGCGUAAAGGGUGCGUAGGCGGCGCGGUAAGUCGGAUGUGAAAUCUCGGGGCUUAACUCCGAAACUGCAUUCGAUACUGCCGUGCUUGAGGACUGGAGAGGAGAGUGGAAUUCCUGGUGUAGCGGUGAAAUGCGCAGAUAUCAGGAAGAACACCCGUGGCGAAAGCGGCUCUCUGGAACGGUACUGACGCUGAGACGCGAAAGCGUGGGGAGCGAACAGG